rnacentral:rRNA from 1 species
UGGGGAAUAUUGCACAAUGGGCGCAAGCCUGAUGCAGCCAUGCCGCGUGUAUGAAGAAGGCCUUCGGGUUGUAAAGUACUUUCAGCGGGGAGGAAGGCGAUGCGGUUAAUAACCGUGUCGAUUGACGUUACCCGCAGAAGAAGCACCGGCUAACUCCGUGCCAGCAGCCGCGGUAAUACGGAGGGUGCAAGCGUUAAUCGGAAUUACUGGGCGUAAAGCGCACGCAGGCGGUCUGUCAAGUCGGAUGUGAAAUCCCCGGGCUCAACCUGGGAACUGCAUUCGAAACUGGCAGGCUUGAGUCUUGUAGA